ACGUCUUUUUAUCGUUAGCAUUCGAAUCUUUUUGCUUAGUCGGCUAUGUGCGUGCUGAGUAUUCGUCUCCGUUUCUGUUUCGUCUUCUCGAGUCCGAUGCAUCACUCUUUGCGCCUUGCACCGCUUAAAGGGCUACUUGCAUUUGGUUUCCUUCGAGUCGACUUGCCUUGACGAGUUCACGUUCACUCUCUAAGACUAUGCACAAUCACUGAAGAAGACUCGAACUGAGUCCGAAACGUUUGAGGUCAAUAAAGAAGAAAGAUCGUUUAAUGUGAUCGUUUCAUGGAUUAUUUUUUUCUUCAAAAACACGCCUUACAACUGCGUUUGCUCUUUACAACAUUUUUACUUUUAAAA